CUUAUCGCCUCCGCGCUCUGAUGGCCUCACACCGCGCCACGCAGUAAACGAAAAGACGGGCCCACUCCCUCAAUCCUCCGCACGCCCCUUCCAUGGGGCAGCCGCACCUCUUGCCGCAGCUCUCCCCCUCCCCGGUCCUCUACUCCCUCUUCUCGCCGCCGGAGACGGGGGCCACGCCCUGGCGGCGGCCGCUGAACCGGGGACGGGCCUUCCAACCGCCGCUCUCCUCGCUGCGGGAGACCAACAAGGCCACGCUCCGCAAGGCCACGCCCAACGCCCCCUUCCGCCUCGGCGGUGGCGGGGGCGGCAGCCCCAAGGAUCGCCGCCCCGCCGCCGACGACAAGGAGGACGAGGACGAGGGUCGCGGCGGCGCCGGGGCACUCACAGGGACGCUGAUCGCAGGAGCAUUACUGGUUGGUUUCGUAGGGGGGUUUGGGGCGGCCGGUUACGUGUACAAGGACCAGAUCAACACCUUCCUCACGCAGUUCUCGGGGUUCCUUGACGGCUAUGGUCCAGCCGGAUAUGCUCUGUUCGUACUUGUAUAUGCAGGGUUGGAGGUUCUCGCAAUUCCCGCAAUACCUUUAACCAUGUCAGCUGGUCUAUUAUUUGGUAAUGUGACUGGUACAAUUAUUGUUUCAGUCGGUGGAACGCUAGCUGCAGCGGUGGCCUUCCUUAUUGCUAGAUACUUUGCCAGAGAGAGAAUUCUUAAAUUGGUUGAAGGAAAUAAGAAGUUUCUGGCAAUUGAUAAGGCAAUAGGUGAAAAUGGGUUUAAGGUUGUUACUUUGCUACGCUUGAGUCCCCUGUUACCUUUCUCCCUUGGGAACUAUCUAUAUGGCCUUACUUCAGUGAAGUUCUUGCCGUAUGUCUUGGGCAGUUGGUUGGGAAUGCUUCCAGGUUCAUGGGCUUACGUCAGUGCCGGUGCAUUCGGGCGAGCUUUAAUCGUGAGUUCUUAAACUGCUGGUAUUUUAAGUCCAUCUUCAGGGGAAAAAAAAUUGCACUGCCAAAAUGGCAACGAGGAUUUGCUGUGUAGUAACCACAUUUUUGCCAUCAAGGUUUUCAGCUUCUAAUAGCUGCUAGGCAGUGCUAUUCUUUGGCCUAUAGCAAGAUGAGUCGGAAAUUGGUUUGGGAGGAAACGAACAGCUAUGGACACUGGGCGUUGGAUUAUUGUUUACAGCCAUUGCUGCCGCUUAUGUAACGAGGCUCGCAAAGGACGCUGUAAAGGAGAUCGACGACUAGAAUGGUAGGAUUCUCUAGGAGAAAGGGCCAUCUGGAUAGUGUACUAGCCUAGCACAUUGUACAUCACUGGCACCUUUGGUGCGAUAAAAUCUUAUAGAAAGCCAGAGCAAUUUUAUGAGGUAAUGUGAUCUCUUGUUGUUGUGGUGUCGA